CCGUACACCAAAAUGCACAGGUUGUGAACUCGAAGAGUAGGGCGGGACACGUGGUAUCCUGUCUGAAUAUGGGGGGACCAUCCUCCAAGGCUAAAUACUCCUGACUGACCGAUAGUGAACCAGUACCGUGAGGGAAAGGCGAAAAGAACCCCGGCGAGGGGAGUGAAAAAGAACCUGAAACCGUGUACGUACAAGCAGUGGGAGCACCUUCGGGUGUGACUGCGUACCUUUUGUAUAAUGGGUCAGCGACUUAUAUUCUGUAGCAAGGUUAACCGUAUAGGGGAGCCGCAGGGAAACCGAGUCUUAACUGGGCGUUAAGUUGCAGGGUAUAGACCCGAAACCCGGUGAUCUAGCCAUGGGCAGGUUGAAGGUUGGGUAACACUAACUGGAGGACCGAACCGACUAAUGUUGAAAAAUUAGCGGAUGACUUGUGGCUGGGGGUGAAAGGCCAAUCAAACCGGGAGAUAGCUGGUUCUCCCCGAAAGCUAUUUAGGUAGCGCCUCGUGAAUUCAUCUUCGGGGGUAGAGCACUGUUUCGGCUAGGGGGUCAUCCCGACUUACCAACCCGAUGCAAACUACGAAUACCGAAGAAUGUUAUCACGGGAGACACACGGCGGGUGCUAACGUCCGUCGUGAAGAGGGAAACAACCCAGACCGCCAGCUAAGGUCCCAAAGUCAUGGUUAAGUGGGAAACGAUGUGGGAAGGCACAGACAGCCAGGAUGUUGGCUUAGAAGCAGCCAUCAUUUAAAGAAAGCGUAAUAGCUCACUGGUCGAGUCGGCCUGCGCGGAAGAUGUAACGGGGCUAAACCAUGCACCGAAGCUGCGGCAGCGACACUAUGUGUUGUUGGGUAGGGGAGCGUUCUGUAAGCCUGCGAAGGUGACCUGUGAGGG
rnacentral:rRNA from 1 species